GGCUGGGCAAGGAGCCUGGCACUGUGCUGCAGAGAGCCGGACCUGAUUUCUGCUGGGGAUCAAAGACCAGUGCCAGAUCUGGGGUGGUAUCUGGGGCAUGCCACAAAAUGCCUCUCUCAAAGGAACAAUUCCCAGCUGCUGCUGCAAGAGUUCACUCUCAGCUGGAUCCUCACACAUCUCCACAUCACACUAUUUCUUCUGUUUCAAGUCACACUCCCAAUCAUGUGUGUGAUGAUUUUGAUUCUUUCUCUCCAAGUCAGAAGCUUGAGCAGGCCACUGCCAGCAGGGACUGGACAUUGCAGCACCUCAGGAGGCAGUGCUGGUGCAGAUGCAGGAGCCCUCUGCAGUGGCUGAGCAUCCGCAAACAAAAAACACCACCAGGAUGGGCAGAUGUUCAAGAUGCAGCCUUGGUGACCAGAAGGUCUCUGAAUGCUGCCAUCUCACCCCUUAAAUUCUCACCUCUGCUCUGGGGAUCAGGAGAUGCAGCAGCAACAUCCUGCAGAGACCUCACUCUCAUCACCUUCUAGACAAUUUCAUCUUUCAUCUCCUCUGCCUUUUCUCACAUCAUUUCCUGAUCUCUUCCUAGAUACCAUCUCUAGCUGCUCCUCCUAGGACACUUAUCCUUGCUCCUGGGUGACCACGAAACCAGGCUGUCCAUCCUCCCUCCAGCCUGGCAUCUGCAGCACAGUGUCAGCUUUGGAUUCCCGCUGCUGCCAGCCCUCAGCAAACCUGUCCCCUGCAGCCUGCUGCUUCUAACGGUUGUUGACUUGACAGCUUAUAAGCAGCUCAGCUC